UACGUAGGGGCCGAGCGUUGUCCGGAUUUAUUGGGCGUAAAGCGCGCGCAGGCGGCUUCGCGCGUCCGACGUGAAAGCCCCCGGCUUAACCGGGGAGAGUCGUUGGAGACGGCGGAGCUUGAGGGCGGGAGAGGUCGGUGGAAUUCCCGGUGUAGUGGUGAAAUGCGCAGAUAUCAGGAGGAACACCGGUGGCGAAGGCGGGUCUCUGGGCCGAUACUGACGCUGAGGAGCGAAAGCGUGGGGAGCGAACAGG
rnacentral:rRNA from 1 species